UUUGUGUGUUUUUUCUUUGGGCUAUUCCACAGAAUGGAAGAGAAAUAGGAAAGGGGGGAUGAUUUCUCCAAUAAUGAUUUUCCAAAAAUGUAGCUGAAAUAAUGCUACCAUUCACGAGACUUGAAAACUGAUACACAGAUAUGUCUGCAAUACUUCGAGUAUGUAAAAGAAAGAGUUACAUACUUGGUUUCUAGACUUUUCUCCUUUUCAGUGCAUCGAGAAAUUGCAAGCUGAAGUAAAAGCUUCCCAGGAGCAACUUAUAGCCCAUUCUGUGAAGCAUUUCUGUGUCCAGGAGUCAG
rnacentral:lncRNA from 13 species